GGUUGAUCCUGCCAGUAGUCAUAUGCUUGUCUCAAAGAUUAAGCCAUGCACGUCCAGGUAUGAACGAGAUCAUACAGUGAGACUGCGGACGGCUCAUUAAAUCAGUUAUAGUUUAUUUGAUGGUUCCUUGCGCCCCGCGCUACUCGGAUAACCGUAGUAAUCCUAGAGCUAAUACGUGCACGCCACCCCGAACGGGGGGGGACGGCUGGGUUCGGGGGGACCGCCUUCGGGCGUCAUCCCUUCGGGCCCGACGUUCCACCAGCUCCCGAGAGGGGCGUAUUUAUUAGAUAAA
rnacentral:rRNA from 1 species